ensembl:lncRNA
CCAAUGAAUAAAGUGCUUUUUGAUCCUAAAGAAUAUGAAUGGUCAAUACACCUUGAGAUUUGCUUUGCCUACUUAUCAUUCUUCUAUGUUUUAGUUGUCAUCGAGGAUGAAGAGGAUUCAAUUCAGAUUUCUCUAACAUAAUCAUAAGCUGCUUCAGUCACAGAUAAAACAUUAAUUUUUUUUAAAAGAGUACAUUCUGCUCUCAUAGAACAUCUUACUUCAGAACAAUCAAAAUGUACUGCUAUACUUCUUACCAAUUACGGCUGUUGAAGUCUAUCAAAUAUGUGCAGACAAAACACAGCUUCCAUCUUUUUCUCAACGAUUUAUUUUUAAAAUAUAUUUUACCUUUAUUUAAAUAGGCAAGUCAGUUAAGAACAAAUUCUUAUAAUUCUUAUUCUUAUAAUAUCCAGACGCGUAUUAAAAACGAACUAGCUGGUUGAGCAAAGUGCCUCUCCCUGAUGGAGACGCCCUCCCUCUGCUGUCCGUCGCACCUCCGCAACCCUUUCAGCAUACACUCCAGGGCUCCAUCUUUAAACAUUUAACCAGGUAAAACCCAUCGAGGUUAAAAUCCUAUUUUGCGACCUGACAAGAAGGCAAAACAUGGAAACUGUCCAUAAAACACAAGACACUUGUGUCACAAGUUAAAGACACAACUGAAGAUUAGAAACAACUGCAGUUGUCACAAACAGUGUUGUCAAUCAGAGUCUUUAAAAAACAGGCAAAGACACCAACUCCCCUAACUUUAAAACCUUCUGAAAGUUCCAGGAUGAAGGGGCAUUAUGGGGGAAACAUAUGGUUUCCCCAUCUCAGUUCUAGCUUUAGGAACAGACAAGGACAGCAGCAACUGUGAACGAAGACUGUACUGAGUGACUGAUCUGGUCAGUAAAGAACAGAGAUACAAAGGGAGUUGUCCCAUCAAUGCUACGUACAUUUUAAAAAAGUGUACCAGUGCCUCCUGGUGGAGAGAGAGGUCCAUUGCACCAUAGCAUACAGAUCACAGUGAUGGGUGAGUGAUCUAGCAUUGGUAAUACAUCUUAAAGCAACAUGAUACACUGUGUCCAGAGUUUUUAAGGUACUUGCUGAGGCCUGCAUAUAGACAAUGUCAACAUAAUCCAACACUGAUUUGACUGAAGUGAUUUGAUCAAGAUCCUUUCUGACUAACGUUGAAAAGCAAGAUGUGUUCCUGUUAAUAGAAACCCAAUUUCAACUUUCAGUUUCUUGGUCAAGGUUUCAAUGUGCCGUUUAAAAGUCAACUUUUUAAUCUAACCAAAUCCCAAGAUACUUUAUAGGAGGUGAACCUAUCAAUUUGCUGGCCUCUUAUAGUUAAAAUCUGCAACUGACGCCAUCUGUUAACUUUCAGGGAAGAGAAAACCAUAAACACACAGGUUUAAAUUGGAAAAAAAGCUGCCUUUGAAUAACAUCAAAGGCCAACUGUAAGUCCUGAAAAGCCUUGUCAAUAUUAGAUGCUCUAGAAUCAAUAAUUGUGUCAUCAGCAUACAGAUGGAGAUUUCAACAGAGUCAACAGUCUUUACCUAUAUCAUUUAUAUACAGUGUAAAAAAGGAUCGGACCUAAAAUUGAGCCUUGGGGAACUCCUUUUUUUAGUCUUCGAAACUCAGAUUUCAUACCCUCCUGUGCUAUACACCGUAUUCUGUCUGAAAGGUCGUUCUCAAAACCGAUCCAUUGCAUCGACACUUAAACCACAUUUUUUUUUGUCUAUUCAACAGCAGGGUGUGGUCAGUGUCGAAGGCCUUCGAUAUGUCAAAACAAAUGUGACACACAGGGAUUUUUCUUGUCCUGAGCAUCUAGAAUAUCACCUACAACCUUACUUACAGCAGUAAUUGUACUAUGCUCGGCUCUAAAACCCAACAUAAAUUGUACUAUGCUCGGCUCUAAAACCCAACAGUAAUUGUACUAUGCUCGGCUCUAAAACCCAACAGUAAUUGUACUAUGCUCGGCUCUAAAACCCAACAGUAAUUGUACUAUGCCCGGCUCUAAAACCCAACAGUAAUUGUACUAUGCCCGGCUCUAAAACCCAGCAGUAAUUGUACUAUGCUCGGCUCUAAAACCCAACAGUAAUUGUACUAUGCUCGGCUCUAAAACUCAACAGUAAUUGUACUAUGCCCGGCUCUAAAACCCAACAGUAAUUGUACUAUGCCCGGCUCUAAAACCCAGCAGUAAUUGUACUAUGCCCGGCUCUAAAACCCAACAGUAAUUGUACUAUGCUCGGCUCUAAAACCCAGCAGUAAUUGUACUAUGCUCGGCUCUAAAACCCAACAGUAAUUGUACUAUGCUCGGCUCUAAAACCCGCCUGGAAUUCAGAUAUAACUGAGUUAUUAUGAAGAAAGUCUUUGAACUGGUGAGUUCUCCAGGUUUUCUAAAACCUUUGCCAGCGCAGACAAUUUAGAUAGACAGUUAUCCAACUGGGACGGAUCUCCACCUUUAUGUAAAAGCAUGACAUGGGCUGCUUUCCAGACUUUCGAAAUGGUAUUACUCUCCAAUUAAAUAUUUAAUAUAUGAGUGAGAGGGGCAGCAAUGAUCUCUGCACCAAUUGUUUGAAAAUAUGGGUUUAAUUCAUCCGGGCCAGCCUCUUUCUUUAUAUCAAUACAUUUGAGUUCCUUUACAACUUCUGAAAGCUCAAUCUCGGUAAAAAUGAAAUAGAUGAACCGUAGGCCAGCAUGUGGCAGUUUCAUUCACAGCCUCAUUUGAGAUGUUAGGAAGGAGUUCAUUAUCAAAUAAAUGUCCAGCUUUAGCAAAAUGCUCAUUAAACAUGUCAAACAGUUUAUUCUUGUGAGUCACAUCCAUUGAAUUUGAGGUCAAUUUGAACAGAAGACCAGAGGAGUUAGUGUUAGCAUUCAUGGAUUUAAAUGGUUUUCCAUAAUUUGGUCGGGUUACUGAGGUUUGCCUUGGUAGAUUCGUAAUAAAAGCUAGAUUUGCAUUUCUGUAUGAACAAGGUACAUUUAUUUUUCAGUGCCCUGAAUAACUGCCAUUCUGCCUGGGAAUUACCCCUUUCUGGCUUUGGCCCACUGUGUAUUUUUGGGAUCCAAUCAGAUAAUUCUCCUGUAAACCAGGAACUGUCUCUACCUCCUUACCCAGUAAGAGGGGUCUAAUAAUCGCAGAUAAUAGAAAACAAGGAAUGAAAAUAGGAGAAUUCCUCUUCGAUAUCUGUAAUAAGUGCAAUCCUAUCCUAUCUAUGAAGUUCAUGCAGGAAUGUCUGCUCACAGAACUAACAAAAAUGUUUGGCUAUGAACCGAGAGGACACUUUGGGGAUUUUAGUGUCUCUAAUGCAAGCAACUGCACAACGAUCACUUAAAUCAUUAGCGAUAAUACCAACGGCCGAGUAUUUAGGAGGAUUGCUUGUUAGAAUAACAUCAAAUAAGUGUUGAUUUAGAGAUGUCUUUGGGAUUGAGUUUUAUGACUGCAUUUAUAAUUUGUGUAAAAUAUAAAUUUAUUGCACAGUCCCCUUAUGGCCUAGGAGUUUGGAGAUAACCAAUCGCAGUUUAAAUCGCCCAUAAGGACCAUUUCAUCUCCCCCCCAACCACGCAUCAGUUCAGCCAGAGAAUCCAGGGGUUCUACUUUUGCAGAUGGAGAUCUAUAACAUCCUAUCAAAUCUAAAGUUCGCAGCUUUCGAUAACUGCAGUUUCAAUGCUUAAAAACUCACUGUUUUGGUUUAGAUAAAGACCUUAGUUCAGUAACCAAACAUCGGUCUUUAAAAAAUAGACGGAUAUACCCCCCUCCCCAGUUACUUUGUCGGUCACAUCGAUAAACAUUAUAACCAUCCAAGUCUAUAGACUGAUUUAGAACAGAUUUCUUAAGCCAGGUCUCGGACAGUACUAAGACAUCUGGGUCAGCAGUGUGAACCCAGACUUUUAUCAUGUCCAUGUUCUGCAUCAGACUCCUCAUAUUAAUAUGCAUCAGUCCCAACCCUGAUCUAGUUUUAAAAUCAUUUGGAGUGGGAAGUUCAUCCAUAGCCAAUGGGACUGGGUGGAUGUUUCCUGAUUCAUAGCCAAUGGGACUGGGUGGAUGUUUCCUGAUUCAUAGCCAAUGGGACUGGGAGAAUGUUUCCUGAUUCAUAGCCAAUGGGACUGGGAGAAUGUUUCCUGAUUCAUAGCCAAUGGGCCUGGGUGGAUGUUUCCUGAUUCAUAGCCAAUGGGCCUGGG